rnacentral:rRNA from 1 species
AGCAGCCGCGGUAAUUCCAGCUCCAAUAGCGUAUAUUAAAGUUGUUGCAGUUAAAAAGCUCGUAGUUGAAUUUCGGGAUCAAUAUAUCGGUCGUGCCAUUGGUACGUACUGGUAUCAUUGGUCUCUCCUUUCUGACGAACCAUGAUGUCAUUAAUUUGGUGUUAUGAGAAGUUAGGACUGUUACUUUGAAAAAUUAGAGUGUUUAAAGCAGGCUUUAGCUUGAAUACAUUAGCAUGGAAUAAUGAAAUAGGACGUUCGAACCUAUUUUGUUGGUUUCUAGGAUCAACGUAAUGAUUAAUAGGGAUAGUUGGGGGCAUUAGUAUUCAAUUGUCAGAGGUGAAAUUCUUGGAUUUAUUGAAGACUAACUACUGCAAAGCAUUUGCCAAGGAUGUUUUCAUUAAUCAAGAACGAAAGUUAGGGGAUCGAAGACGAUCAGAUACCGUCGUAGUCUUAACCAUAAAAUUAAUNCCGACUAGGGAUCGGAUGAUGUUAAUUUUAAUGUACUC